rnacentral:rRNA from 1 species
AGCGAACGCUGGCGGCAGACCUAACACAUGCAAGUCGAGCGGAAAGGCUCCUUCGGGGGUACUCGAGCGGCGAACGGGUGAGUAACACGUGAGUAAUCUGCCCUGCGCUCUGGGAUAGCCACCGGAAACGGUGAUUAAUACCGGAUAUGACCGCUACACGCAUGUGUUGGUGGUGGAAAGUUUUUCGGCGCAGGAUGUGCUCGCGGCCUAUCAGCUUGUUGGUGAGGUAAUGGCUCACCAAGGCUUUGACGGGUAGCCGGCCUGAGAGGGUGACCGGUCACACUGGGACUGAGACACGGCCCAGACUCCUACGGGAGGCAGCAGUGGGGAAUAUUGGACAAUGGACGGAAGCCUGAUCCAGCAACGCCGCGUGAGGGAUGACGGCCUUCGGGUUGUAAACCUCUUUCAGUACCGACGAAGCGAAAGUGACGGUAGGUACAGAAGAAGGACCGGCCAACUACGUGCCAGCAGCCGCCGUAAGAC